ACGAACGCUGGCGGCGUGCCUAAUACAUGCAAGUCGAACGGUCUUUCUAUGGAAGCUUGCUUCCACUGAGAAGAUAGUGGCGAACGGGUGAGUAACACGUGGGUAACCUGCCCAUAAGAGGGGGAUAACAUCCGGAAACGGGUGCUAAUACCGCAUAGUUUUCUUGAUCGCAUGAUUGAGAAAGGAAAGACGGCCUUUGUGCUGUCGCUUAUGGAUGGACCCGCGGCGUAUUAGUUAGUUGGUGAGGUAACGGCUCACCAAGACGAUGAUACGUAGCCGACCUGAGAGGGUGAUCGGCCACAUUGGGACUGAGACACGGCCCAAACUCCUACGGGAGGCAGCAGUAGGGAAUCUUCCGCAAUGGACGAAAGUCUGACGGAGCAACGCCGCGUGAGUGAAGAAAGGUUUUCGGAUCGUAAAACUCUGUUGUCAGAGAAGAACAAGUUGGAGAGUAACUGCUCCAGCCUUGACGGUAUCUGACCAGAAAGCCACGGCUAACUACGUGCCAGCAGCCGC
rnacentral:rRNA from 1 species